GACGAACGCUGGCGGCGUGCUUAACACAUGCAAGUCGAGCGAGUUGAUUCCCUUCGGGGAUGAAGCUAGCGGCGGACGAGUGAGUAACACGUGGGCAACCUGCCUUAUAGAGGGGGAUAGCCUUCCGAAAGGAAGAUUAAUACCGCAUAACAUCAGAUUAUCGCAUGGUAGACUGAUCAAAGGAGUAAUCCGCUAUAAGAUGGGCCCGCGUCGCAUUAGCUAGUUGGUGAGGUAACGGCUCACCAAGGCGACGAUGCGUAGCCGACCUGAGAGGGUGAUCGGCCACAUUGGGACUGAGACACGGCCCAGACUCCUACGGGAGGCAGCAGUGGGGAAUAUUGCACAAUGGGGGAAACCCUGAUGCAGCAACGCCGCGUGAGUGAUGAAGGCCUUCGGGUUGUAAAGCUCUUUGAUCAGGGAGGAUAAUGACGGUACCUGAAGAACAAGCCACGGCUAACUACGUGCCAGCCGCCGCCGUAACAC
rnacentral:rRNA from 1 species